rnacentral:lncRNA from 1 species
GGAUCAGAAGGUAAAAUACUCUACAGCGUACUUCCCAAUAGAUGCCAGGACCAAAUCCCGCACUCUGGCUCCUGGCCAGGGUGAUGCUCAGGGGAGACCCACCAUGUCCCCCACUCUGAUGCUCUCCAUGCAGGGAGCUCUCCCAGUUGCACAGUGUAGCCUCUCAUCCCACUGUGAACUUUCUAUGGAAUCCUUGACAGGAAUCUAAGUCGUGGGCAUUCAAUGUGCUUUGUCUAUUCUCUUAGCAGGAGAAAUCCCUGGGACAAUUAGGGUCCUGGCGGGGCCACCUCUGGACAGACAGACCACCUUACCCCUGGAAGGCCUGGCAAGCCAGUACCCAAACCAUGUGCGCUGCAUCUAUGGUGAAAUAAUCACACUUUGCACAUCCCAAGUAAAGCGUGCAAGUACAUUUUUAAGGAGUUCCUUUUGUGGCUCAGCAGGUUAUGGACUCAACUAGUAUCCAUCAGGAUGCAAGUCCAAUCCCUGGCCUCGUUCAGUGGGUUAAGGAUCUGGUGUUGCCAUGAGCUCCCACUUCAGGCAGUGCCCGCCGAAUUCCAGGGUGACUCCUUCCCUCUCCUUUCUGUGGAACUGCUCAGGGACAGGGGAUGAAGAGGACAGCCUAGUCUUGCUGGUGGAGGUAAAUCUUAAACCUCAGAGCCAGUAAAAACGUACCCCACAAACAAGUUAUUUGGAAAUGACAUGUAGGAAGGCAACACCAGAAUGGCUCUUUCAUAUAUCUCACUGCGCUUCACAGCCGGCGAGAUCCCGGUCCUUGAGGUGUUUAAGGAUUUUACCGAGAUGAAACGUCCUAAGGAGGAACGUGUCUUCCAUCUACCCGUGCCCCGCACCACCUACAGCCAAAUAAAGUUCUCCUCCAAGAAAACGAGAAACAACUCCUUUUGCGCUCCUGACGGAUGUGACCUCAGGGAGAAAAAGUUCUGUCCUGUGGACUCUCACCCCGAACACUUCUGGGCAGAAGUCAGCUGCCCCCACGCCUGGACCUGCUGGGACCUGGGGUCUCCAAUGACUCCCCAGCAUCCUCCACAAUACCUGUGAGCCUUCUGGAUCCAGGAGGAAUUGAACUCUACGCAGUGCACCUGUUAUGCUAAUUAUAUUGUCUUGCACUGAAUCUUUGAAAAAUGGUCAACUACUUUGCAUACAGUGACAUUCUCGUGCUCCCCCCCCCCAUUUAAUUAGCUAAAAUUCCACAUCCUCUGAGCUGGCCAGACGACACACGUGCUGGGCAUUUUCAGGAGAUUCUGAAACCACAUAGCACAUCUGGGAGAAAACCGUGCAUUUAUUAAGAAUAACCUUUUUUUUUCCCCUAACCAAGUUUCCUGUUAUACAUGUAAUUUUGCAGCAGUGAGCCAGUGUAGUUCAAAACAUGUCACUCAUUCAUUUGUUCAUUCGAUAUAUAUUCAUAGAAAUCUACAGUGAACUCAACUUUGGGCUAAACUCUUCCUAAAACAAAUCACUUAAGUGGAAAAGUCUGUGGAAAGUAACUCUCAAUUACCUGCCUAAACAAAGAUUCCCAGAGGGAAGACGCGGACAGCCACCUCAUUCUUUCCCUGUGUCUGCCGCUAAAGCCAGCGUCUGAAGACAGGAGGGGAACGCUGACUCGACGAGCUCCAGGCGGCCUCGUUGCUCUCAGCUCUGCCUGUGUGCAGAUGGUCCCCGGCUGACUGGCGGCGGUUCGGCCUCGGAUUCUGGGGCCUGGGACGGUGCGGAAGUGAUACACAUCUCGUACAAACUGCACCUAGAAUCCCGGGCUGCGAUCUUCUCCCAGGCUGGCAGCAUGCGGUCCGGUCCCCUCUCAUGAUGCUGGGCGGCGGCAGCGGCAGCUGGAGCUCCACCAGCCCCGCCAUCGGGAGGGUGAACAACCAGCACGCUGACAACCACUGGAUCCACUUUCAGCACAGCAUUCCAUCAGUGACACGCGCUCCGCAACACUGUAUUAUAAACCAGGCUUUGUGUUCGAUGGUCUGGCCCAACCGCAGCCCCAGGUGAGCCCUGCGAGCAUGCGGAUGGUGGGCAAGGCUAAGCCGUGACACUCAGUGGGUCAGGUGCAUCAAGUGCGGGUUUUACUGAAGAUAUUUUCAAUUUCCAGCGGGCCCAUGGGGAUGUGAUUCUGCCGUAAGUCGCGGAAGAUCUUACUGGGAAUGGCGAUGUCUCACCUUCUGGUAUGGAGUGGUGCCACCAUCGUCAGCAAAGCGAGAGGGCAGGAGCAGGGCU